rnacentral:misc_RNA from 1 species
CCAUAGCCCUGAUUGCAGUGGAAAUCCCACAGCAGGCGAUGGCAAUUUGACUCCGCUCGGGAUGUAAGCGAGGGCGCGAGGAAUUGCAACGGAAAGCAGGUUCUCGG